rnacentral:rRNA from 2 species
ACGCUGAGGCUCGAAAGCAUGGUAGCAUCCGAGACUUAGAUACCCUUGUAGUCCAUGCCGUAAACGAUGAGUGCUAGGUGUUGGAGGNUUUCCGCCCUUCAUUCCUCACUAACGCAUUAAGCACUCCGCCUGGGGAGUACGACCGCAAGGUUGAAACUCAAAGGAAUUGAUCGGGGGCCCGCACAAGCGGUGGAGCAUGUGGUUUAAUUCGAAGCAACGCGAAGAACCUUACCAGGUCUUGACAUCCUUUGACCACUGCUAGAGAUAGAGCUUUCCCUUCGGGGACAAAGUGACAGGUGGUGCAUGGUUGUCGUCAGCUCGUGUCGUGAGAUGUUGGGUUAAGUCCCGCAACGAGCGCAACCCUUAUUACUAGUUGCCAGCAUUUAGUUGGGCACUCUAGUGAGACUGCCAGGUGACAAACCGGAGGAAGGUGGGGACGACGUCAAAUCAUCAUGCCCCUUAUGACCUGGGCUACACACGUGCUACAAUGGAUGGUACAACGAGUUGCGAGACCGCGAGGUUUAGCUAAUCUCUUAAAACCAUUCUCAGUUCGGAUUGUAGGCUGCAACUCGCACUACAUGAAGCCGGAAUCGCUAGUAAUCGCGGANNAGCAUGCCGCGGUGANUCGUCCCGCU